CGCUAGAUAAAGGGAUAUAUUACUACAAAAUCUUGCCUUAGAUUUCAGCAAGUAGCCACAAUUAACAAAAAUACAAUGUUCCAAUCGUUCCAUGUAUUUAUAUAACAAAUCAGCUUUGGACAUAUCCAAGGACCUCCCUUUUCUCCAUCAGAUAGCUAGCUAGGUCCAGACAAAUUUUUCUUUGCCACAAGCCAGAAAAUUGUUAAUGCUUGUUCAACAAAUAAUAAAUAUCUUAAUGCUGGGGACUAUUUUCUUC
rnacentral:misc_RNA from 1 species